rnacentral:rRNA from 1 species
AACGAACGCUGGCGGCAUGCCUAACACAUGCAAGUCGAACGAGACCUUCGGGUCUAGUGGCGCACGGGUGCGUAACGCGUGGGAACCUGCCCUUAGGUUCGGAAUAACUCCCCGAAAGGGGUGCUAAUACCGGAUAAUGUCUUCGGACCAAAGAUUUAUCGCCUUUGGAUGGGCCCGCGUUGGAUUAGCUAGUUGGUAGGGUAAAAGCCUACCAAGGCGACGAUCCAUAGCUGGUCUGAGAGGAUGAUCAGCCACACUGGGACUGAGACACGGCCCAGAAUCCUACGCGAAGCAGCAGUGGGGAAUAGUGGACAAUGGGCGGAAGCCUGAUCCAGCACUGCCGCGUGAGUGAUGAAGGCCUUAGGGUUGUAAAGCUCUUUUACCCGGGAUGAUAAUGACAGUACCGGGAGAAUAAGCUCCGGCUAACUCCGUG